rnacentral:rRNA from 1 species
CGGGGGGGGCAAGCGUUGUUCGGAAUUACUGGGCGUAAAGGGCUCGUAGGCGGCCAACUAAGUCAGACGUGAAAUCCCCAGGCUCAACCUGGGAACUGCGUCUGAUACUGGUUGGCUUGAAUUCGGGAGAGGGAUGCAGAAUUCCAGGUGUAGCGGUGAAAUGCGUAGAUAUCUGGAGGAAUACCGGUGGCGAAGGCGGCAUCCUGGACCGACAUUGACGCUGAGGAGCGAAAGCUAGGGGAGCAAACGGGACUUAGAUACCCCGGUAGUCCUAGCCCUAAACGAUGAAUGCUUGGUGUGACGGGUAUCGAUCCCUGUCGUGCCGAAGCUAACGCAUUAAGCAUUCCGCCUGGGGAGUACGGUCGCAAGGCUG